rnacentral:rRNA from 1 species
AACGACUCUCGACAACGGAUAUCUCGGCUCUCGAAAUGCGAUACUUGGUGUGAAUUGCAGAAUCCCGUGAACCAUCGAGUCUUUGAACGCAAGUUGCGCCCGAAGCCACUAGGUUGAGGGCACGUCUGCCUGGGUGUCACGC